UACGUAGGUGGCGAGCGUUGUCCGGAAUUACUGGGUGUAAAGGGAGCGUAGGCGGGAGAGCAAGUCGACUGUGAAAUCUAUGGGCUUAACCCAUAGCUGCGAUCGAAACUGUUCAUCUUGAGUGAAGUAGAGGCAGGCGGAAUUCCUAGUGUAGCGGUGAAAUGCGUAAAUAUUAGGAGGAACACCAGUGGCGAAGGCGGCCUGCUGGGCUUUAACUGACGCUGAGGCCCGAAAGCGUGGGUAUCGAACAGG
rnacentral:rRNA from 1 species